rnacentral:lncRNA from 1 species
AUGCUUUGGCUGCCAUCUUGGAAAGGAGGGCGACAAGGUAGAGCAAUCUGAAACACAGAGCAGUUGUCCAAAGAAUCGAGUUAAGGCCCCCAAAACAGAUAAAAUUAUCUUGUCUUGCUGUGAUUCAGAUUAAACUAAGACUUCUUUUCCUGUUUACUCAAGAUGUAGACACUUGAUGAGAAACUGGUCUGGAGAAAUCUAGGAGCUAUAUUGUCUUUGGACAUCCAUAUUAGAGGAUGAGUAAAUUUGUAAUCCCAUUAAGUAUUUUUUGAGCUUUCCAACAGUUUUAAUUAUUAUUGGGAAAUAAAUCAGAGAAGUCUCUAAAGCAACAAAGAAUUAUUGAGGUUUCGUUUGUUUGGGGAUUUUAAGGUCUAGUACUGUGGUAUUUUUUGAUAAAGCAUCAGCUGUAAUAGCUUUGUAGUACAGUUAUCAAAUUAAAUAAAAAGGGAUGUAAGUAGUCAUAAAAAUUGCUCAUUAAAGCUGAUCGCCUUUUUUUAAAUGCCACCAAAGCUUUGGAGGGUGGAGAAUAACCCAGUUGAAAAUCUACAAGCAAUGCUGUCCACAUCCCAAAUAGACUGGUCAAAAAGCCUUCAUCCCGUCAGUCACUGACAUCAACUUCAUCCAAAUCAGACUCCUAAAAACCCGGCCUAACUUAUGUGUCAUGCAAAGGAUGGCUCUUGGAAAAAUGCAAAGAUGAGGAAACGUGACUUACAGAAGUAACUUUCCUAAAUUCAAAAAACUGGUAGGUGGCAGAGACAAAUCCAGAAUCCAGCAAAUUCUCCCAGAUUGUGAUACCUCAUUUCUGAGGACUUCAUCUUUACCAAAUCUUUCAAUCCAAAGCAAACGAAUACUGAAAAUUCAUGUAUCCAAAGCAAAUGAAUACUGAACAUUCACGUUGAGAUGAUCUUUAAAUGUAAUUAAAUAGAGAUAAUGUAACUAAAA